rnacentral:rRNA from 1 species
GAGUUUGAUUAUGGCUCAGGACAAACGCUGGCGGCGUGCUUAACACAUGCAAGUCGAACGAUGAAACGGAACGGAAGUUUUCGGAUGGAAGUUCUGUGGAUUAGUGGCGGACGGGUGAGUAAUGCAUGAAGAACCUGCCUUUCACAUAGGAAUAGCCUCGGGAAACCGGGAUUAAUACCAAAUGACACUCCGAGAUCGCAUGUUUUUGGGGUUAAAGAUUUUAUCGGUGAAAGAUGGCUUCAUGUCCCAUUAGCUGGUUGGUGAGGUAACGGCUCACCAAGGCGACGAUGGGUAGCCGGCCUGAGAGGGUGAACGGCCACAUUGGAACUGAGACACGGUCCAAACUCCUACGGGAGGCAGCAGUGGGGAAUAUUGCACAAUGGAGGGAACUCUGAUGCAGCGACGCCGCGUGAGCGAUGAAGGUCUUCGGAUCGUAAAGCUCUGUCCUAAGGGACGAUAAUGACCGUACCUGGGNNUCG